GACGUAGGUGGCGAACGUUAUCCGGAAUUAUUGGGCGUAAAGAGCGUGUAGGCGGCCAGACAGGUCCGUUGUGAAAACUGGAGGCUUAACCUUCAGACGUCGAUGGAAACCGUCUGGCUAGAGUCCGGAAGAAGAGAAUGGAAUUCCUGGUGUAGCGGUGAAAUGCGCAGAUAUCAGGAAGAACACCCGUGGCUAAGGCGGUUCUCUAGUACGGUACUGACGCUGAGACGCGAAAGCGUGGGGAGCGAACAGG
rnacentral:rRNA from 1 species